rnacentral:lncRNA from 1 species
CUGGGACCGGAAGUGCCGGCAGGGGUCAUGGCGGUCGGGGAAGAGGAAGUUAUGGAAGGUUCGAGCCUCUCCCCGUAGUCAUACGGGCAAUUGAUGUUUUCUCCUUUUACUUGGAAUGUAACUUCAGCUUCCCAGGUUGUCCAGCCAAGUCACUCCAAUGAUGAAAUUCUUUUUUUUUUUUUUUGAGACUUUAUGUAUUUAUUCAUGAGAGACACAGAGAGGCAGGGACCCAGGCAGAGGGAGAAGCAGGCUCCCUGCCCGGAGCCUGACGUGGGACUCGAUCCCGGGACCCCAGGAUCGCGCCCUGGGCCAAAGGCAGGGGCUAAACCACUGAGCCCUCCAGGGAUCCCCCAAUGCGGAAGUUCUAAAGCCACCUGGGCCUCUAUCAGACAAGAGAAGUGAGGUGACGACUGGCCCCGGGGAAAGGACAGAUGGGCAUCCUCUCUGGUGGAAAGCUCGGGCGGGGAUCCUUCCCAAUUUCCCCGAUGAUCGGAUGCCAAGCUCCAGGCCCACCAGUCCUCCACCCAGGCGUCCGUCCCUGUGGCAGGAGCCCCUUGCUGAGUCUCACACCCCGGCUCUGGGCCCAGAAACUGGAAUGCUUCCUCUGCAAUCCUUGAAGUCUGGAAGUCUGCAGAUCCCAGCCCUGCUUCAUUCCCUCGCCUCUCUGCAGUUCUGCUGGGCUUACCUCAUCACCUCAGCUCACUCUCUCAUGUCUGUCUGCCUGGGAGGGGCAGCACCAAUCACGUCUAUCCGCCUUGUUAUGAGCUUUCUCAGAGGCCCACCCAGCAUCUCCUCCUCUGGAAGAAGACUGAGAAUAUGA